CCCUUAGAUGUUCUGGGCCGCACGCGCGCUACAAUGAUGAAUUCAACGAGUUUAUAACCUUGGUUGAAAAGCCUGGGUAAUCUUUUGAACUUUCGUCGUGAUGGGGCUAGACCCUUGCAAUUAUUGGUCUCCAACGAGGAAUUCCUAGUAAACGCAAGUCAUCAGCUUGCAUUGAUUACGUCCCUGCCCUUUGUACACACCGCCCGUCGCACCUACCGAUUGAAUGGUCCGGUGAAAUCUUCGGAUUGAGACUUUGAUUUCUUCACGGAAAACGCUGUUUUAAAGAGUUGAUUAAACCUUACCAUUUAGAGGAAGGUGAAGUCGUAACA
rnacentral:rRNA from 1 species